ensembl:lncRNA
AUUUUUGUCAUCGAAAGUAGCUUUUUGCUGCCUUGAUGGUGAAGGUUGGUGUUUGUUGGUCGUGUGAGAAUUUAUGUGGUGAAUUUUGGUGUCUAAUGGAGAAUGGGGGUGUCUUGGUGUUUGUUGGUGUUUAUUGGUGUCUAAUGGAGAAUGGUGAUGUCUUGGUGUUUGUUGGUGUUUAUUGGUGUCUAAUGGAGAAUGGUGGUGUCUUGGUGUUUAUUGGUGUCUAAUGGAGAAUGGUGGUGUCUUGGUGUUUCUUGGUGUCUAAUGGAGAAUGGUGGUGUCUUGGUGUUUAUUGGUGUCUAAUGGAGAAUGGUGGUGUCUUGGUGUUUGUUGGCGUUAUUGUAUCUAAUGGAGAAUGGUGGUUCUUGGUGUUUGUUGGUGUCUAAAGAGAAUGGUAGUGUCUUGGUGUUUGUUGGCG